AAUUCCAGGAUUUUGGCUCUUCGUCUAGCCCUAAUCGAAAGCCUUGACAAGUGCCACAAAUACCAGUUAGACGAAAUUGUAAGCAUCAAUUUGCAAGUAAUUCAGUUUUCUUCGACCACGAACACCUUUGAAAUAAGCGCAACAUAACGCAACGAAAUAAAGUCUUCAAGAACCUACCAACCCAUGAUGUUUCAUGUGUAACAACGAACAUGUGAAGCAAAGAACAUUUUGAAAAACAGAGGUUUCCUAUAAUAAAUGUUGAACUUCCGUUCCCCCCAAAAA